UCUGACCUCGGAUCAGGUGGGACUACCCGCUGAACUUAAGCAUAUCAAUAAGCGGAGGAAA
rnacentral:rRNA from 1 species